rnacentral:rRNA from 2 species
AACGAACGCUGGCGGCGUGGAUAAGACAUGCAAGUCGAACGAGAGAAUUGCUAGCUUGCUAAUAAUUCUCUAGUGGCGCACGGGUGAGUAACACGUGAGUAACCUGCCCCCGAGAGCGGGAUAGCCCUGGGAAACUGGGAUUAAUACCGCAUAGUAUCGAAAGAUUAAAGCAGCAAUGCGCUUGGGGAUGGGCUCGCGGCCUAUUAGUUAGUUGGUGAGGUAACGGCUCACCAAGGCGAUGACGGGUAGCCGGUCUGAGAGGAUGUCCGGCCACACUGGAACUGAGACACGGUCCAGACACCUACGGGUGGCAGCAGUCGAGAAUCAUUCACAAUGGGGGAAACCCUGAUGGUGCGACGCCGCGUGGGGGAAUGAAGGUCUUCGGAUUGUAAACCCCUGUCAUGUGGGAGCAAAUUAAAAAGAUAGUACCACAAGAGGAAGAGACGGCUAACUCUGUGCCAGCAGCCGCGGUAAUACAGAGGUCUCAAGCGUUGUUCGGAAUCACUGGGCGUAAAGCGUGCGUAGGCUGUUUCGUAAGUCGUGUGUGAAAGGCGCGGGCUCAACCCGCGGACGGCACAUGAUACUGCGAGACUAGAGUAAUGGAGGGGGAACCGGAAUUCUCGGUGUAGCAGUGAAAUGCGUAGAUAUCGAGAGGAACACUCGUGGCGAAGGCGGGUUCCUGGACAUUAACUGACGCUGAGGCACGAAGGCCAGGGGAGCGAAAGGGAUUAGAUACCCCUGUAGUCCUGGCAGUAAACGGUGCACGCUUGGUGUGCGGGGAAUCGACCCCCUGCGUGCCGGAGCUAACGCGUUAAGCGUGCCGCCUGGGGAGUACGGUCGCAAGAUUAAAACUCAAAGAAAUUGACGGGGACCCGCACAAGCGGUGGAGUAUGUGGCUUAAUUCGAUGCAACGCGAAGAACCUUACCUGGGCUUGACAUGUAAUGAACAACAUGUGAAAGCAUGCGACUCUUCGGAGGCGUUACACAGGUGCUGCAUGGCCGUCGUCAGCUCGUGUCGUGAGAUGUUUGGUUAAGUCCAGCAACGAGCGCAACCCCUGUUGCCAGUUACCAGCACGUGAAGGUGGGGACUCUGGCGAGACUGCCCAGAUCAACUGGGAGGAAGGUGGGGACGACGUCAGGUCAGUAUGGCCCUUAUGCCCAGGGCUGCACACGUACUACAAUGCCCAGUACAGAGGGGGCCGAAGCCGCGAGGCGGAGGAAAUCCUGAAAACUGGGCCCAGUUCGGACUGUAGGCUGCAACCCGCCUACACGAAGCCGGAAUCGCUAGUAAUGGCGCAUCAGCUACGGCGCCGUGGAUACGUUCCCGGGUCUUGUACACACCGCCCGUCACAUCAUGGAAGCCGGUCGCACCCGAAGUAUCUGAAGCCAACCGCAAGGAGGCAGGGUCCUAAGGUGAGACUGGUAACUGGGAUG